UAAUUUUAAAAAUUGAAAGAGAUCAACACAGCCAAAACAGAAAACAAAAAGUAAUGUUCUAAAUAUUCUCAAAAGGGGAAAAAACAAUACAAAAUGAAUCUGAAGUCGGGCAGAUAAUUGGAUGUGUAGGGCUACGGUGUCACAGAACUACUUAACAUUUGGAAAAGAUUACGGUAAUACUAAUUCUGUAGGCAUACAGUAAAUGUAGAAAAUCUACUCCUGAUGGAUUUUUAAGCUAUGUUUUAGGAAGAAGCUACUUUUGUGGAAUGACAGGUGGUAAAAAAACUACAUCAUAACUUAGGGACAGAUCUAUAUAGUCACUGCACCAAGGAGCAAGUCAUUUGCAAGCAAAUCUCCAUUAUUCUUUGUUACCAUGAUCAUGAAAGAACAUGUGUUUACAUAGCUAUACGGUGGUCUUGCACAUUUGUGCCUCCUACGUUCUUCAGCAGGACAGGCAAUGAUGGCAAACAAGAUAGGUACAAAUUUAGUAUUACCUUGUCAUGAUACCUGCAAGACAGGCUGUGUCAGUACAAGUGAGAGUGAAGGAGAGUAGGUAAGGGUGGGGUGGUCCUGACCUUCACAUAGCUGCACUCAUCAUUUCUUAGAUAAAGUAAAAGAGGACUCCCAAAUUCACAGUGUAACUCUCAAUUUUUUCAACUAUAUUGCUCUCUGUAAGAGUCUAUUAUCAAAAAAUAUUUACCUGUUGUUAUAAUAUCCUGUAACCUGCCAACUUCCUGAGAAGAAAAACUGAAAACUGAAAACCUACAAGAUAUUCACUGAAUAGUUCCCAACCAUUAGAUAUAUUUUUCCUGGUCUUCUCUACCAGAGUUUUGUAUCAGAGACUGAUUUAUAAUUCAGACAGAAUUUUACAGAAAGAUUUUGUGCCAAAUUUCAUGCCAUUUCAGAUUACUUCCAAAAAUCUGAACCCUUCUUGCCCUUGUAUCACUCUGUUGUUGUGGGGAGACUUUUAAUAGUAUAAAACUGGAGCAGUGCAAUGUCUUAGUAUAAUUUUAAACCCAUGAGAGGUUAUAACAAGGGAAUUGUCUGCAGUAUCUUAGUACAAGAGCAACAGAAGAGUUCCAUGCACAACAAGGCAGCCAGAAAAAUAUAUUUAUUAACAAUAAAAGUAGCAUGAGAAUACAGAAGUUAAGGAACAGAUUACAUUGCUCAGAGACAGAGGUGAGGAGGAGAUCAAGUUGCACCCUCAGAAGUGCUGCAACACUCCCAGCUAGCUGGGAACAACUUUGCCCUCUCCAGUUCCCCAGCCAGCAUGUUUGCAGAGGAUCUGCCCUGCAUCUAAACAACACAGUCAAAAGGCCACUACUAUUAGCAUUUCAGUGCUCUUCUGUUUCAUUUUCUGGUGCCAUUACACAGCUUGCAUCUAGACCUUAACUGGUUUUGUCAAGAAAGUGAUACUUGAAAAAUGAAAAAUUUUUACUUGUCAUUUUGGAAAUACCCAUGUGUUAGAGGUGAAAAUAUUUCAAUACUUUUUUUUUUUUUUUUUCUUUUCUCAACUUAAUGUGGCAAAACAUAGCUGGGUCAUAAAGUAAAAACAACAUUAUGAAAAAACUCUGUUUUCACAGUUUGCUAAUGGCAUCCUGACCAUGGCAUUUUUCUGAUAUGGCAAGCUGUUUCUUUGAGAAAGAAAUAAUAGAAAGAUGAAAAAUUGAAGUGCCUACGUUGCAAGAAGGUCUUGGACCUGAUUUACUGAUAUUUUGGGAGCAUACCCUAAAUCCCCAGUCAACAAGCUGUUACAGGUUAUAUGGAUGGAUCUCCUUCACCCUCAAGAGAAAUCCAUGCAGAGAAUUUGAUGCAUGUUUGCAAUUGUUUUUGUUUCAAGACAUUGAUGCUUUUAAAGAAAAAAAAAAGUGGCAUCCAAAAUGUUAUUCAGAAAUUCCAAACAUUCCAUGCGAUUUUCAAAAUAGUUAAACACCCAAGUUUUACACAGAGGUCCAGAGGAAUCCAAUGAAAAUCAACAGAGGCCUGCAAAGCCUGCCCCUCCCAAGUUCCUGACGUUACUGGCAGAUAAAUCCAAGUGGCCUGAAUUUCAUCAGUACUGAGCACUAGCUUCUCCAAUACAAGGGAUACUUGGUUCUGCUGUGAACCCUGAUGUGAACUACAUCUUUCACUUAGAUUAGCGCUAACAUUGCUGCAGAACAAACUUUUUUUUUAAAUUUUGUAUUAUGUUCAAAUGUUGUUGAAAUAUCAAUGCGCUAAAUAAAUAAAUAAAGACCAUGCAGGCUCCAGCAUGCUUCGAUUUCUAACCCCAACUCUCAGCCUGAUCUCUUGUAUGAACCAUUUUUCCACUGGCAUUUUUUUUUUUCUCCAUGCUGCAGCUAAGUGUUUAUAAUAGAAACACAGAAGCUGUAGCUAUAGCAAAUCUGGGGGGCACUGCUGUAACUGAAACCUUCCAAAGCCAAAAGUUUUGGAAGAGCUUCUUGCACUUUUUGUUUUAAAGAACAUUUUUGUGCUUGUUUGUUCAAACUUGGUCUCUUCAGCGAAGGAAUGUUCUCUGGCUCCCUUUCAGCAUGUAUUAGUUCAGUGUCCCUUUAGCUUGAGGAGCUGAAUCAUCAGUUGCUCAUGUGUUCAUGCUUUAGUAGAAAGAUUUAUAGAACUUCUGCUGGGAGUUCUUCCAGAACAAAAGAUCAAGUCAUUCCUAUUACCACUGAAAUUCCCUGACAAGAAACACUGAAUUUUUUCUGUGCAAGCUCAUGGCUGUCUCCAGUACAGACACUGUCUGAUAUAGGCUUCAGAUCCAUGGCAUCAUCAUCACCAUUCUCUGAGGGUAAUUAGGCCUGACUAAGAACUCAGAUACAUUUCUUCUCCUUCUGCAAACAUCUGACCGCACCUGACACAUCGUGCGCAAGUUGGGUGAUAAUGUUUUUCUCCCGCCUGUUUGGGAAAAAAUGUACAGUUGAGUGAUGAGCAAUAGCUGCUUGUGGAUUGACACUUGAGGGACUAAACCAGAGUGGCCUAGAGCUCAAAGAGUGAACUAAGUACCAGAAAGAAGACUCAAGAUUUCUGAUGACUCUCUCACAAGUGAAGCAUAAGUACAUACCAUCUCACUGCAUUAUUGACUUAGUAAAGUUGUCUGUAAAGGAAAGACAGAAAGUAGACAAAAUCUUUUAAUGUGUUAAAUAAUUAAACUUGUAACUACUUGGUUGCUGUCCUUAUAAUGAAUUUUUUCAGUGAAAUUCCUCCUUUAAAACAACAACAACAAAAUAUAUCUCAUUAUCAAAAUUCACAAUAGUAGCUGACCUCUUUUACUACUGGGAGUAAUGAGCUCAUG